CAGCACCUCAAGUGGUCAGGAUGAUUAUUGGGCCUAAAGCAUCCGUAGCCGGCGCUGUAAGUUUUCGGUUAAAUCUGUAUGCUCAACAUACAGGCUGCCGGGAAUACUGCAGAGCUAGGGAGUGGGAGAGGUAGACGGUACUCGGUAGGAAGGGGUAAAAUCCUUUGAUCUAUUGAUGACCACCUGUGGCGAAGGCGGUCUACCAGAACACGUCCGACGGUGAGGGAUGAAAGUUGGGGGAGCAAACCGGAUUAGAGACCCGAGUAGUCC
rnacentral:rRNA from 1 species